AUGUCACGGGGAUCAGCUUGGGCUGGCCGCCCUGAUCGAGUGUUCACGUCGGUGGAGGACCCGCAGCAGCGACGCCUCGCCGAGUGGAUGGACCAAGAUAAUCAGGCGCGGCGUCGCGCCGAGUUUGGCAUCCGUAUUGCAGCCAUCGCGGCGCAGGUGGCUUCCGAGGUGUUGGCGGCGGUAGCAUCGGAGGUGUCGGCUGCCGUUGCCGCGGCGCUACAGUCUGCGCGGGCGGGGCACCACGAGUACCUCGACCUUGAGUCGACGACCACAUCGACCCCAACUGCUCCAGUGGCGGACGACCUCGCCUCUCCCACCGCUGCAUCAAAUUUGUCCGAGGUCAUCGUCGUUGUAGUGACCGAGUGUGGCUGCACCGACCUCGAGCCCACAGCCGCGACCUUAACUCUGACCUCCGCACUGGACAUCUCGGGCGCCUGUUCAGCGAUGAACUCGCUCGCGCUCCCUACAACCAGUGGCUGCUCCGCCGUGGUGCACACCACGUGUUCGACGCAAUGCAGAAGCCGCGCCGUCACCAUGUCGGUGUCAGCGACAGCUCCAGCCACAAUGUCAGCUUCGUCCAAGGUCACCGGCGAUGUCGUUCCUGAGCUUUGCUGCCUUGACCUUGAACCAUCAGAUGUUCUCGAGCUUAUCAGAACGCCGCCCAAGUGUUCGACAGAAGGCCUGAAUGACGACCCCGUGGUCACGCAUGAACAGCAGGAGCGCUCCAAAGAAUAUGAACAUUCAGUACAAGAUGCCAACAUGCCCUGUGUGCUUCAUGUCAUCAACAGUUGUGAGUUCCCUGGAACUACCAACCAGGUCAAAACUGCAGCCCUUCGCCCAACUAAAUCAAUCACCGAGCACAAGCUAAUUGGUGUGGAUUCACUGCACACACCGUGGACUCCAGCAAGGAGCACAACUUGUAGAAUGUUCAACGUGCAAGGUACACUGUAUGUUAUGCAGUUAUCAGGGUAA
rnacentral:rRNA from 1 species